rnacentral:lncRNA from 1 species
CUUUUUAUACGACCGCAAAAAUUUUAAUUUUUUGGUCGUAUAUUGCUAUCACGUUGGUGUCGUCGUCGUCGUCCGAAUACUUUUAGUUUUCGCACUCUAACUUUAGUAAAAGUGAAUAGAAAUCAAUGAAAUUUUAACACAAGGUUUAUGACCACAAAAGGAAGGUUGGGAUUGAUUUUGGGAGUUUUGGUCCCAACAUUUUAGGAAUUAGGGGCCAAAAAGGGCCCAAAUAAGCAUUUUCUUGGUUUUCGCACUAUAACUUAAGUUUAAGUGAAUAGAAAUCUAUGAAAUUUUGACACAAGGUUUAUGACCACAAAAGGAAGGUUGGGAUUGAUUUUGGGAGUUUUGGUUCCAACAGUUUAGGAAUUAAGGGCCCAAAUAAGCAUUUUCUGGUUUUCGCACAAUAACUUUAGUAUAAGUAUAUAGAAAUCAAUGAAAUUUUAACACAAGGUUUAUGACCACAAAAGGAAGGUUGGG